rnacentral:misc_RNA from 1 species
AAAACGUGUCAGCAUCCAUCAAGAUUCUACGUCAACUUCAUUCACAAAGUCCCUGUGUGCUACUGCUAGGCUCCCCACCAUUUCCCCAUAUCUGUAACUUUCCAUCCAUACACAAGAAGCUUUAAACAUAAAUAUCCAGAAAAACAACAAAAGCUCAACGUAAACACCCAGAAAGGUCAACAUUCAACAGCAUUUUACCCUUUGUUAGGAUUUAUUUAUCAACCACAAACUUCACAUGAGGUGAACAUUGCAUCUACUUGGUCUGUCAGUAGCCGUUUGUGCUGUCUUCAUUGUCUGUCUUCAUACCAGCAAUUGGGGUCCCAUCCAUUUGCUCACAGAUGAUGGAUUUUGAUUCGUUGAAGCUUUUCCAUUAUUUAAUGAUGAUGACAUUGAUCCAAGUGAAAAUGUAUCAGCAUGAUGUAGUUUAGUAAUGAUGCAUCUCACAUGGAAUUUGAGUCGUUGAUGUGGGGAGGAAUUCUAGAGAUGCCUUGCCUGGAUAGUUCUGCUAGGACUGU